GCCCUGUGGUUACUGGAUGCUGUUGCAUAGGUACAGUUCUCCAGUUAGUAAAAAUGGGCCAAAAGUAAUACUGUGAUUUGUGCAUGGACUCUGUUACAUUUCGGCAGCCUCCAUAGCCCGGUCAUAGAUACACUU
ensembl:snoRNA SNORA84 small nucleolar RNA, H/ACA box 84